AAACGACUCUCGGCAACGGAUAUCUCGGCUCUCGCAUCGAUGAAGAACGUAGCGAAAUGCGAUACUUGGUGUGAAUUGCAGAAUCCCGUGAACCAUCGAGUCUUUGAACGCAAGUUGCGCCCGAAGCCACUUGGCUGAGGGCACGUCUGCCUGGGCGUCAC
rnacentral:rRNA from 1 species